UACGGAGGGUGCGAGCGUUGUUCGGAAUCACUGGGCGUAAAGCGCGUGUAGGCGGCCUUUUAAGUCUGAUGUGAAAGCCCGGGGCUCACCCCCGGAAGUGCAUUGGAAACUGGGAGGCUAGAGUACCGGAGAGGAAGGUGGAAUUCCUGGUGUAGCGGUGAAAUGCGUAGAUAUCAGGAGGAACACCGGUGGCGAAGGCGGCCUUCUGGACGGAUACUGACGCUGAGACGCGAAAGCGUGGGGAGCAAACAGG
rnacentral:rRNA from 1 species